GUGUCAGCAGCCGCGGUAAUACGUAGGGGGCAAGCGUUGUCCGGAAUUAUUGGGCGUAAAGCGCGCGCAGGCGGCUGUUUAAGUUUGGUGUUUAAGCCUGGGGCUCAACCCCGGAUCGCACUGAAAACUGGACGGCUUGAGUGUAGGAGAGGAAAGUGGAAUUCCACGUGUAGCGGUGAAAUGCGUAGAGAUGUGGAGGAACACCAGUGGCGAAGGCGACUUUCUGGCCUAUAACUGACGCUGAGGCGCGAAAGCGUGGGGAGCAAACAGGAUUAGAUACCCUGGUAGUCCACGCCGUAAACGAUGAGUGCUAGGUGUUAGGGGUUUCAAUACCCUUGGUGCCGAAGUUAACACAGUAAGCACUCCGCCUGGGGAGUACGGUCGCAAGACUGAA
rnacentral:rRNA from 1 species